rnacentral:snoRNA from 1 species
GUGUGGUUUACCACAGGCUUUGUUCUUACACUGACUGUAGAGAAAGAGGAGGCAAAAAUAGAUGUACCCCAUAUACAUAGCCCACCUCCUGUGACUGGUUUGUAUUGGGAAUUGGGAGGCGGAU